AUAUGGUAGUGACUCUCCCUGCUGUGUGGAAGAGUGUUCCCUUUAGUUUGCUUGUAAUGCUCUGCCUGAUCAUCUCAUUCACUGUUCCCUGCUCCUCCCCUGCUGUGGGUCAUCGCACACUUCUUGACCUACCUAGAAAGAUGCAUGAUUUUAGAUUUCACCUAAUUUUCUUUGCCAGACCAGCCUAUUUUGUCUCUCCAUUCAUGGAAGAUGAUCAUCUUCUUAUCUUCAUCUGUGCCUUUUCUGAAAGGUUCUCAAGAGUAAUAUGAAGUGUGUCCUCCUCUAUAUAAAACACCUUGCUGGAAUUGCUCUGACUCACCAAACAUGCUGCAUGGUCAUACCAUUUCCUACUGAAGAUCAGCUCGUUUCUAUUUGCCCAGUCCUGCACUCCCUUCUUGCUCUGAAAUCACAGCACUGAGCACGGUGUAGUAGCUGCAGCAGCAUCAGUCAUCUCGGAGCUCCCUUGUAGGACUGUGACCCCCACAACCCCAGCUAACUACUGGCUGCCCAACUAUUCUGCAUUCACAUGAGGAAGCAGGAUGCCUGGAAAAAACUCUUUUUGGCGGUGACUGGUAUUUCCUCAUUAACGGCCAGUGGUGGUGUCCUCUGGGGGAUAUCACAGUCUGGAGGAGGAAAUGAAAGGAGGCUGGAUUAUAUCCUCUUUACCAGCAGGAUCUAGAGUCUACAGAGUUGGUGCACGGACCUUACUUUCCUCUGUAUUUCUGCAGUCUUCAUAAUGGAGGGGCAUAGGUGUGCACCACAGAGGGUGCAAAACAAAGACAAAUAUCAGUGGGUACCAGUUUUCAUAGAGGAUGGCUGGUGGAUGAUACUUAAAACCACACAAAGUGUAUUUUAGUGUGCCUUUUGCUGAACAGCUGGGUUUUCUGAUUUGAGGGAGUUUCCAAAUUUCAGCAUUUUUGUUCUGAUUCAGAAAAACUAACAGAAAGGAAAUUCCAUUGAAGAAGUCCUCCAGUGGUUGGACAAAUGUGUGGUUUGGGAAAAAUAUGAAGAUCUAUUUAAAAAUUCCUUAAUCAAUUUACUUGAUCUCACAGUGAAUUUCAUUUUAACAUUAUUUACUUUUGAUUGUUUGUUGAUGUUCUAAGCGAAGGACUUCUAAUGUUAUUACAUAUUGUAUGGAAAACUACUGGUUAUCUAGGAAAAAAUUACAGUAAUCAAAAUAUCAGGAAAUGCUCACAGUUGUUAAUGAUUAAAUAAAAAUGUUUACAUUCUAGAUGUUGGUGUCUUCACCAACAAAUGCAACAAAUUUGUUGCACUGAUCAGAGAAAAGUAAGCUUUGAGCACAUCUUUUGGGGUUUAAUUCUUAAAUUAAAAUAUGACCUAGGGGAGAGAUUAUGAAUAAUGUGAGUGCAUCUGGUGGCAGCUGUAUAGAGUUUCUGAGUAUUUGCUUGCUACUGUUCCCCCGUAGCUUAGAUGAAGUCAGAAAUUCCUAGGCCAUUUUUUAACCUGGACUUUUCAAGUAAACUCUAAACUCAAAAAAAAAAAAAAAAAAAAAAAAAAAAAUCCUCCUUAGCUUCUAAGAGGGAAAAGCAGUAGAAUGGCAAGCAGAAUAGAAUAUGAACUAAAGAACUGAUAAAAUUUGGGUAGAGGUUUGA